rnacentral:rRNA from 1 species
UACAGAGGAGCCAAGCGUUGUCCGGAUUGACUGGGCGUAAAGCGCACGCAGGCGGACGCGCGCGUGGGGUGUGAAAUCUGGCCGCUUAACGGCCAGGCGCCAUCCCAUACGGCGCGUCUGGAGCAAUGCAGAGGUCGGUGGAAUUGCCGGUGUAGUGGUGAAAUGCGUAGAGAUCGGCAGGAACACCCAGGGGGAAACCAGCCGACUGGGCAUUUGCUGACGUUGAGACGCGAAAGCGUGGGGAGCAAACAGG